AUAGAAAUAUAUCGGUAGGGGAGCGUUCUGUUGUAGGUCGAAGUAUUAGCGUAAGCGGAUAUGGACGAAGCAGAAGUGAGAAUGUCGGCUUGAGUAACGAAAAUAUAGGUGAGAAUCCUAUACCCCGAAAACCCAAGGUUUCCUCCGGAAGGCUCGUCCGCGGAGGGUAAGUCAGGACCUAAGGCGAGGCUGAAAAGCGUAGUCGAUGGACAACUGGUUAAUAUUCCAGUACCAUUUUUUAUUGACAACGAGGGACGGAGAAGGUUAAGCCAGCCGGAUAUUGGUUACCGGUUUAAACGUUCGAGAUGUUGAGAAGCGGCGAAAACGCUUUGAGUUGAGACGUGAGUACGAGACGCUAAGGCGUUGAAGUGGUGUAUAUCAUACUUCCAAGAAAAGCUUGCACUGUCAUAAAUAAAGAAUGCCUGUACCAUAACCGACACAGGUGGGUAGGUAGAGUAUACUAAGGGGCGCGAGAUAACUCUCUCUAAGGAACUCGGCAAAAUAACUCCGUAACUUCGGGAGAAGGAGUGCCUUAUUCGUAAGGCUGCAAUAACAAGAUCCAAGCAACUGUUUACCAAAAACACAGGUCUCCGCUAAGUCGUAAGACGAUGUAUGGGGGCUGACGCCUGCCCAGUGCCAGAAGGUUAAAGAAGUUGGUUAGCAUUAGCGAAGCUGAUAACUGAAGCCCUGGUGAACGGCGGCCGUAACUAUAACGGUCCUAAGGUAGCGAAAUUCCUUGUCGGGUAAGUUCCGACCCGCACGAAAGGCGUAAUGAUUUGGAUACUGUCUCGGAGAGAGGCUCGGUGAAAUAGACUUGUCUGUGAAGAUGCGGACUACCUGCACCUGGACAGAAAGACCCUAUGAAGCUUUACUGUAACUUGAAAUUGAAAUUGGACUUUAGUCGCGCAGCAUAGGUGGGAGGCGUUGAGCAUGUUCUUGCGGGAACAUAGGAGCCAUCAGUGAGAUACCACUCUUCUAAUGUUAGAUUUCUAACCUUGUACCAUUAUCUGGUCAAGGAACAGUUUCAGGCGGGCAGUUUGACUGGGGCGGUCGCCUCCUAAAUGGUAACGGAGGCGUACAAAGGUUUCCUCUGAACGAAUAGAAAUCGUAUCUAGAGUAUAAAGGCAUAAGGAAGCUUGACUGUGAGACCUACAAGUCGAGCAGGGACGAAAGUCGGUCUUAGUGAUCUGACGGUACUGAGUGGAAAGGCCGUCACUCAACGGAUAAAAGUUACUCUAGGGAUAACAGGCUGAUCUCCCCCAAGAGUUCACAUCGACGGGGAGGUUUGGCACCUCGAUGUCGGCUCAUCGCAUCCUGGGGCGGUAGUACGUCCCAAGGGUUGGGCUGUUCGCCCAUGAAAGCGGUACGCGAGCUGGGUUCAGAACGUCGUGAGACAGUUCGGUCCAUAUCCGGUGUAGGCGUUAGAAUAUUGAGAGGAGCCUUCUUUAGUACGAGAGGACCGAGAAGGACAUACCUAUGGUGUACCAGUUAUCGUGCCAACGGUAAACGCUGGGUAGCCAAGUGCAGUUUGGAUAACUGCUGAAAGCAUCUAAGUAGGAAGCCAGCUUCAAGAUGAGUACUCUCACCGCUUUAAGCGGGUAAGAUCACGGCAAGAACAGCCGUUUGAUAGGCAUCAAGUGUAAGUGCAGCAAUGUAUUCAGCUGAGAUGUACUAAUAGAUCGAGGGCUUAUUUU
rnacentral:rRNA from 1 species